rnacentral:lncRNA from 1 species
CUGCUUUAACCCAUAGUGUACUGAUUUUAUAGUCCGACACUCAUAAGGCAAUUUAUUCCACCUAGUGUAAGUACAGUUCUAUGGUAAGGAACAGUUAGAAGUGAACUAUGUAGGGCUCCAUGUAUACACAGGUAUAUAGCUCCUAAAUGUAAUGUUGAGUGGAAAAGUUGCUAAAGGGUACACACACUAUGAUACUUUAUAUAUAAUGCCUGAAAACCUGCAAUAUCAUUGAUCACUCAGGGAUAUUUAUGUAUUUUAUCAAAGCAUGAAGACAUACCUGAAAAUGAUAAACAUAAAAUUCAGGAUGAUGGUUUUCAUUGGCAGUGGAUCAAAGAGGGAAGUGUAAUCACAGAAAGGUUACACAAGAGGCUUUAUAAAGUUUUACAUGUUUAGACUUGAUGGUAGAUACAUGGAUGUUCCUCGUAUUACUCUCUGGGCCUUUUUGCUCUUUUGAAUGUUUUCAUAAAGAAAGAAUAAACAAUAAGAAGGUUUAGUCUGGCAGGAGCAUAGGAUGUGAGGCGGCCAUUGGAAGAGGUAUGGUAGAGCGGGGCAGGGUCAGCUCAGAAGGACCGUGCAGUAGCUUUGCACCUGAAGAUCCCGAGAGGCCCCUGAGGAGGUUUAGCGGUGGUGUGGAGACUGUCUUGGAGGCGGGGUGACGAGUCAGAUGGAUGCUGCACGACUCAAGUGGGAGACAACAGUGAGUGGGCUACACUCGGAAUACAGAAGAAAGGACAGAGUGAAACUGUCAGCUCAUGUUGCCUCAGUGCUUCCUCCUUUCUUUCUCAGGCUCCUUUGCCAAGUGGCUUCUGGAGAACUUCCGCUAAUGGGAGGCACUGUGAGAGGAUGGAGCGGGGAACGAAGAAGCCUGGGUAUUCCUUCCUCUCCCCAUUUCUCUGCUUCCAGUGGCCUCUCCAACAGGGACUGUGCCUCCUUCACAUCCACCUCCCGUGAGACAGCUCCUCUGCCGGUGCAGCCAGUUCUCACCAGGGAGCCCUGGCUUCUGGGCACGGGUAAUAAGUUUGUCCCAUCAGCCUAGAGCAGGUGACAACUUCCAAUUGUUGCUGAUGCCUGGGUCACAUCAUUGACCCCUGCUCUGCAUCUCAGCUCUUCCAACACCCUGGUAGCUGGUUCUCUGUGUUAAAUCUCCCGUUGAUCUCUGUCUGGACCCUGACUGAGACAUACACUUUUUGGAUGCUUUAUAUUUUGUCUUCUGUGGGAAACAGAGGCAUGGUGGCUAAAUGAGCAGGGCUGUGGCCUCACAAGUACUAAGGCAGCUAGAGGCUACUAGAGGCACCUGAAGCUCUGACUGAGGUACUUUCUUCACAAAUGGUGGAAACUCCUGAGAAGACAUGGCUUCUUCCAUGGAUAUCAAUGACUGCCAUCAGGCCAGCCAGGCAGACUCAGUCAUCAAUUGGGCCCACCAUUAAAAUCAGCUUUCCUGUUUGAGGAGACGCUAAUUCUUCUUUGGAAGGACACAGCAGCAGUGGGGAAUCAGGUUCUGAAAUCUAGCCAUGCCACCAAUACCUGCAGAAACAUUCUGGAUGGAACAGGCUUGCCCAGACCCUCCUCUCCAGAAGGCAAGUAUGGAAAGGCCGUCCUCCUGUACGGACUGUUCCCUGCACUGCUUCCUCAAUACAUCCGGCAUAGCAUUUGAUUAAAGCCUCCUGGGAAAAUGACUCCUUCACAUUUGGUAAAUUUCUAACCAGACCUGCUGCCAGAUGAACAAGUCCCCUGGGAAGGAAUCCCUUCUUCAGUCUUCAAGUCAAACUGCUUCUGUGCUAACCAAAGGCUAAGCCUGCCAGGGAGGGGGCAGUGCCACCUGCUUCCAAAGGCGCUGUGACAGCUCUUGUUUAUUGAAGAGGGCUGCCCAUCCCAGUGAAGUAAGAUAACCAGGAAUUUUAUUUCUGAGAGAGAGUAUCCUGGGCCUCCACAUCAAGGAGCAGGAAAGCUCAGCCUUGGCUUCUUGAGCUAUAUCCCAGGGAGCUGUAUCAGCAAAUGGACAGGUGGAACUCUGAUGCCUUCACCAAGAUGGUUGAACAAGAGAACAAGAUAGAGUUCUCAUCAGCUGAACAAAAGAAAUCAUGACAGAGACUAGAAGAUGUAAAGGCCUAGUUUCGGAGACAGAGACAAGUAAUUUCCCUGAAAUGUUAUUUGUGCCAUGUGGGUCACAGCUGAACUGCUGAGGGAAGCAUUUUCAGAACAUCACAGAGGGAAGAGUCAUGGGUCUAAACCUUUUAAAGACUACAUUUUUUAAAGGUCAACUGCUUUUUCCCUGGAGGGGAUCCUUGUAAUAGGUACUAUAGAGAAGGAUAAUUAAUAAUCAUGAUGUUGAGAAAGUGGCCUGAAAAAGAAAAAAAAAAAACUUGGAACCAGCUUCUCAUCGAAGAUGUGCCUCUCUCCCUCCCUGCAUUGCUGUGAUCUAGGGUUGCAGUGAUGCCCAGUUUUCCAGACCCUAGCUCUCACAGUCCGGACCAACUUGCAGCUGCAUUUCAGUAUCAAUCCAAUUUACAGAGCUGGAAUUACGUUGUAGCGGGGCCCACUAACAUGAACAUACAUUGUAAAUUCUUUUUCCUCCUAUUUGUAUUUUCAAUAUUCUUUGUUAAUUGUGAUAAUCCCUUAUGACAAAUGUGUGAUGUAUUUGCGUACCUCAGAUUGAGCAUAUGUCUGGUAUGAAACAAGUUGCCCCACAAAAAAUUGGGGAGAGGCCGGGCAUGGUGGCUCAUGCUUGUAAUCCCAGCACUUUGGGAGGCUGAGGCAGGUGGAUCACUGAGUCCGGGAGACCAGCCUGGGCAACGUGGCAAGACCCCAUCUCUACAAAAAAAUGCAAUACUUAGCUGGGCAUGGUUAGGCACACCUGUGAUCCCAGAUACUCAGGAGGCUGAGGUGGGAGGAUCAUUUGAGCCCAGGAGGUCAAGUUUGCAGUGAGCUGUGAUUGUGCCACUGCAUUCCAGCCUGGCAACAGAAUGAAACCCUGUCUCAAAACAACACAACCACACACACACACACACACACACAAAAUUGGGGUAAGAACAAAAAAUUGGGGGAAGAAAUUGGACAUAUGAGUUUUGAAGGCAUAACAUCUGCCUUCUCAUUGCUGAGACAAGUCAUCUAUUUUUAACUUCCAUUUUCACGUUAAGGAUUUCUCCCAGGCUAUCCUUCAAUCUCUACCAUCUCUGAAUUCCAAAGUUUUCUGUCCUUGCUCCUUGGGGUGUUCCGCAGCCUCCUGUCAGACUCUCCAAGGCUCCUUGUCUGCUGGGACUGUGCAUGCCCCACCGAGGCCACAUCCUACCAAUAUUGCAGCUUGGCUCCAGAAUGGAUUAGAUAAUUUUUGCUAAGCUCCUGCAGCUAGGUGUGUUUUUGUGAGGCUCACCCUAUUCUCAGAGUUGUGAAUCAUGACAGCUGACCCUUACUGAGCACGCAUAUAUGCUAGGCACGUGCUAUGCUUUUUAUGUGCAUCAUCUUGGUUAAUCCUAAUAAGAAGCUCAUCCUUCUCAUCAGCUCUGCUUUACAGAUGGGACACUAAGGAACAGAGAGGUUAAAUGACAUGCACACAGUUACAAAUCUAGUGGUAGUGCUGGAAUUUGAACCCAGUCAACCUGACUCCAGAAUCUGUGUUCUUGAUCAUGAUGCUAUUGAUGGGUUCCAGCUUUUAGCCCAUUUCCUGCAGGGUCCUUUGAGUUGCAGUUAAUUGGGUCAGGUGCAGCUGUACCAUGAGAUAAGAUAGGUGUUCAAUAAAUUCCACCCUAGAAUCAUUUGUUGAACAUUUACUGGGUACAAGACACUGUGCUCACUUGUAAACCUGGGGUGUGGGUUUUGGUGUGGAGAUGAAACAUGCUAUUUAGUCACUGAAAUGAUCAAGAAGGAAAUCCUUUUGUUUGUAAGAAUAGUAGAUCUGACCUGAGACAAAAUUGUGAUCUUUCUGUGUCUCAUUGUCUGGCCUUUCUCAAACCCUGACCCUGUCCUUUCUUCAACUUAGGAAGCCUCUUCUGCUUUUCCACCCAGGAUCUUCUCUCCAUGUUUCUGAACCCAGCGCUGCACUCAGAAACAGGGCAGGUGCCUCUCCGUGCAUCUGAAGGCUUUACCUUCAGACCGUCCAGGUGUGCAUACUUCAAUGUUUAUUUAGUUGCCUGCCUCUGGGGAGCAUCCCAGCCUCACUGAGCUUAUACCUUGGGACACCUUGGAAGGUGAAGGCAGCCGAGUCCUUAUCGUAGAGUAAAAUAAGACAAGAACUCUAAAGUGAGGAAAGGCCCCAAACUAAGCAACAAAAGGUGUUGUUUUCUUGAAAAUGAUGACGGAAAUAUUACAAAUAUUGAUUGGUUGCAGAGGUAAUACAUUUGUCAAAGCUCAUCAAAUUGUGCUAAGGAAUACCUUUGCAUUUGUCUGUGUAUAAAUUUUACCUAAAUAAAAGCUUUUUUUUCCUAAGAAAUAAAAAUGCCAUAGUGCUAAAAGGACACUAGUAAGCAGAGAGCCGUUUCCAAGUACAUCAUCUAAGAGCCAUUUGUUCAACAAAUAUUUAUUGAGCACCUGAUAAGUACCAGGGACUGUCCUAGAAUCCAUCAGCAAUGAGACAAAGGUCCCUGUCUCCAUGGAGCUUACAUGCUAGCAGGGCCCUUGAAAGUGGCAGGCAGAGGCGGGCGCUUUGGCUGAUUGUUUGCCCUGAUUGCUGAUCUCAAGAGGAGCAACUGGAAGCUCUAGUCUCAGAGGGGCUCAGUGAUUCAUGGAAAAGGGAGUUUCCUGAAUGUCAGGUCUAGGGUUAGGCUGCAGCCCAUGCUGAGGUCUGAAGGGAGUGGGUGGAUGAAUGGCAGAUAGCUGAAAGAACACUUAAGGAGCUGUAGGUAGGUGAGAUACAGCUUUAUUCAGCAGCUCUCUCAUCAGCAGCUCUCUUACACGGUCUGCUCUGUCUCAGCUGCUUGAUCUGGCUGCUCCCAUGCACAGCUGCGCUGCUGGCUUUCCCUUCAGGGUCAGCAGCUUAACUCUUUCUCUGUCUGGGCAUGAGCGGGCCUAUACAGUGUCAGCAGGGCAAUUAUACCUUUUACAGACAAUAGUGGCUUAGAGCCAAAUGAUGAGCCUUCCCAUGCUAUGGCUACAUGGAUGUGAUGACAAGUGGAGUAAUACACCUAUGCUCUAAACUUGCUGAAUCACUCUCGGUGUUUACCUGGGGCUAUCGCUGACCGAAGCAUAGCCAUGUUCCUUACACUGAAAAAGCCUCUGAAUGCCUAGGGGAAAAAAGUCCUUACAUGCUUGGGGGCUAGAGCCGCACUUUCCGGUGAGGCCCAGAAGAGUCUGCAAAUCUUCCAGCCCCAUCCCCAGUGUCUCUUUGUGGCUUGAGAGGGUGGCUCACCCACCGCCUUACCAUAUGAUCCAUGCCCUCUCCCCCCUAGCAAGGCACCUCCACCAGGGGCCCGGCUUCCUUCAGGCACAUGUGCCCACAGGGCAUGGGCUCUGGCAGAGGCCAGCAAACCUGGAGGCUGGAAGCUCAUUUUCUGAGCUCCAGGAAGGGCGGGGAGGUGUGGGUUCUUUUUGAAACCAGACCUAUGUGCUUAGAAACACCACAGAAGGGCUGGGCAGAGCCACUGGGGGUUGGAUGGGGUUGCUGUGAAUCAUAGGAACUCUAGGCUAGAAGAAGCCAUCUGAGAGGGGAGGUAGGUUCUUUUGAAGUCUCAAAAUCUUUAUUUAAAACAGAAUCCAAGAACCUUUGAUCAUGCAGCAAAGUUUAUGACAUUAUAUACGUAAUAAAGGACAAUGAAGCAACAUAUAAUCCUUGUUAAUUAAAAUGGUCUAAAUUACAUGUAAUCUCUGAAUUUACAAAGAUAGCACAAUGUAUGCAAUAAAUCCUAUUUCACAGUCUUUUUUUAGUAACAACAAG